rnacentral:rRNA from 1 species
AUUGAACGCUGGCGGCAGGCCUAACACAUGCAAGUCGAACGGUAACAGGAAGCAGCUUGCUGCUUCGCUGACGAGUGGCGGACGGGUGAGUAAUGUCUGGGAAGCUGCCUGAUGGAGGGGGAUAACUACUGGAAACGGUAGCUAAUACCGCAUAAUGUCGCAAGACCAAAGAGGGGGACCUUCGGGCCUCUUGCCAUCGGAUGUGCCCAGAUGGGAUUAGCUUGUUGGUGGGGUAACGGCUCACCAAGGCGACGAUCCCUAGCUGGUCUGAGAGGAUGACCAGCCACACUGGAACUGAGACACGGUCCAGACUCCUACGGGAGGCAGCAGUGGGGAAUAUUGCACAAUUGGCGCAAGCCUGAUGCAGCCAUGCCGCGUGUAUGAAGAAGGCCUUCGGGUUGUAAAGUACUUUCAGCGGGGAGGAAGGGAGUAAAGUUAAUACCUUUGCUCAUUGACGUUACCCGCAGAAGAAGCACCGGCUAACUCCGUG